ACUAAAGACACCAAAAAACAAACAACAAAGCAGUAUCCAUUUUACAUCAGGUCUCCAUUAUGGAAUGAUCAUCACAGUACCUCUUCACUAAGUGGUUUUUGUUUGGAUUUUAGUUCUGAUUGAUCACCUUGUUAACCUUUGCUGGAAAAGUGUGACUUUACUGUUAGGCUAUGACCCCUGGGCACUGUUUCAACUUUCCAACUGCAGAGGUCAAUAACGGUCAGUCUUUCUGAAAUUGAACAUUUUCUUUCUUUAGAAAGCACAGAUUCAUCUCAAAAUGUUGACACAUUUGCCAGGUAUUAUCAUGGCAUACCACAGAUGCUGCAUAGAAGUACAUGUGUUUUUAUAGCUGACCCACAAAAAAAAGAAAAUGCAAGUCAAAAUGUCCAAAUGAGCAGUGACAAAUUGGGUACAGUAGGACAAGCUACCACGAGGUGAGUAAAUAUGAUGAGAUUCGGUCAACAUGAGCCAAGCAGUCAAGAAAAGGGUUUGAUUUGACUGACAGCAUUAGUUUAAAAAUAACAAAUGUGCAGAUAUGAAGCAGUUUUAAUGUAAAGCAACAAUUCCUCCAACAAGCAACAACAAAACAACAAAAGCUGAGUAAACUCUGAACAGCUGGUGACCUGAACCGAGGCAGGAGUUCAUUGAGAGCAUACGGCCAAUGGUCGAAUCAGAUUUUGUCAAUGAAAGUUGUGGGCUUUAGUCCUAAUAUAGUCACUGCUGUAGCAGCCAAUCAGGGAAAUCUUGGAUGUAAAUAAGCCCACAGAUGCUCGAGCCAUAUGCUUCAUCUGACUGCAGAGAGAAUCCAACACAGACUUCACUUGAGAUUAUCAAUGAGAAGGGAUUAAGGUGAAGCAGAAAAUCCAGAAAGCCAGAGUGUAAAAUGGUCUUCUUGGGUCCUGAAAGUCAUUCAUGUUUGUGUGUUUCCACAUAUUAAUUUGAAUGACCUCUCUUGGGGUUACAUUUACACAAUUUACACAAUACAGAGUUAUUACCUUGACUACUCAUGACCUCUGUAUAAUCUCUGCUGCAAGCUUUAAAAACAUGUCUAUUUUUUCUGUAAUCUGUAGAGUAUUUCAAGUAACAUCAUAUACACAUAUAUUGUACAAUAAUGUUUUCAGCAGCGAUGUGUGAGACUUUUUGCUCUCAGAGGGUUUACAUGUACAGGUGUUGAAGAAGAUGAAACAAAAAUUUGACAUACAGCAUCAUUACAAAGUUAUUAAUAUAUCUGCCAGCAGUUGCCUAUUUAUACAAUAACAUUCAUUUAAAGUUGUGUUCUGUCCAAUUGAUAAAUAUAAGUCCAUUAUCCAUUCUCAUUUUUGCUCUGCUGCAGGGAAUAUUUGGCUUUUUAACUGGUAAGUGCCCCAUUAUUUUCACCAGCUAUUGUCUGUUGUUUGAUGCUGGGAAGAUGAUGUACUAUCAGUUUAAUUUUUUUCUGGAAACAGCUGCCUGCUGCAGCUGCAAUCAAAGUUAAGUGAAAUUGUGGGCCAUGUCCAUCUGGAAUGCUCCAGCUUCACACCUGUCAAUAUUGAUCAACUCAUUGUUUGAUAACAGUCAACUUUGUAACAGCUAUUACAAGAAAAUAUGGAUAAAGUAUGAUCAAAAACAUCUACAUUGGCAAUAUAGCAAAAUUCCUAACAGGCUCACAGAAUCUGAUCGGUCAUAGAGUUUGGCGUAAUGCUGAAAAACCAAAGGUGUGCUGUAGACAGAGCUGAAUGUGAUUCAUCAUGACAAGCAACUUCUUAAAUUAAAUUAUUAAAUGAGAAUGCUGUGUUUUCUAAGCUAUUUUUCUUUAGAAAAACACCAAAAUGCAUUUCUUAAUGACGCCUCAAGAGGAAAGAUGAAUGGCACAGGAAUAAAAGUUACAGAUGUCUACCUCCAAAGCUCAUACCAGGCUUACAGCACCAGAGGGAUUACAGCAAGGCCUUGCACACUGAAGAGAGGAAACCGAGAAGGAGAAACUGCAAGGAUAUGCAGUAGAAGAGGUCUGUAUGAAUGCUGUCUGCCUUCUGUGACUGCAGGGUCAGCAGCUUGAUGAGGUUUGACGACAAACACAACCAAAAAUAACCUGCCACCCUCACAGAUCCCCAUCAUCUCAGCAAAUACCAUUUUAUCUGACAGGAGAAGGGCACUUAAUGACACAUUGUGUCCUGGGACCAUAUGGUGGUGAAGACAGUCUACACUGUGGGACUGCCUCUUGAAACUGUGUGUCCUUUAGCAGUCAAGCCUAAGAUUGCA